AAUUGAGGAGCAGAGAUCCAGAGGAGUGUGAAGGCUGGGGAAGGGGUAAAGGUGCAGUUAAUUCUCUAACGGAUGCUGGCUGGGAUUCUGGGUUACUCUGCACACAGGGCAGUUCUCCAUUUGUGGUGGUGAAGGAGCUGCUGAUCACAGCCAAGGCUAAAAGGGACCAGGAGUGCCUUGUCACAGGGACUAAUGGAGCGCACCGAGUCACCGCGAGACGGGCUUUUACCUCGGGAAGUCCCACGGCACCUUCUGCUGCCUGGCCCACUCUUUGCUGGCCCUGGAGACUUCUUCUUAUAAAGAAUUGAUGUAAAGUGGAGCAAGACGGGAAGGAUUCAAGGCAGUGAACUUGUCUUCAUCUGGUUAUGCGAGAGCCCUUGGGCUUUCUACUGCUUCAAGGUAGAAUUUAUAAGAUGUGGAUGGUGACUGAGCCACUAAUGUAAACUUGUAUCCUGAUUGUUUUAAAAACAUGUAUUAUUGGCCUGGUUCAUAGCAAUAAUGUAAGUUUCAUUAUAAAACAGCUUUUGUUGCGAACAACUUUACAAGUCUAAAAUAUAUAUCAAACUUCUGAAUAUACAAGAGCCAUUUUCAUCCAUACCUGAAACACUCCUACAUGAAGUGAUUCAUAGCUGAUUCAGAACACAUAUAAAAGUCCUGCAAAUAUAUUUAGGAAAGGAAGUAAAGGCUAUUUUAAAUUUAUGGGGAGCUGGAAUUAGAAAGUACCUACAACAGUGGAACUUAACACAAAACUCCUCCAAAGAAAGAAUAUCAUAUCCUUAAACUUACACACUGGCCAGGAAUUUGGUUUAAUUUUCUGCUUCGAAAGGAUUGCCUUCUCCCACUAUCAUGUAAGUAGCAUGUUGUGCUUCUCGUUUCCCAGAUUAAGAGUGGUACCGCUGUCAAUCAGCACCGCCAGAUUGUGAAGUACUUUGGUGUAUCCUGAAAGUCCCAUGCAACUGCCCUGAUCAGUCUCUCUGCAUCAGACUUACUCGAUGCGGCAUUUAAAUCCUGAUACUUAUUCUGUUUUAGGGCUUUCUUCUUUUUUCACUCUUUGCUUAAACAUUCUUUCCUCCCCCACAAGCUUUGUACAUUCUAAAUGGAUGCAAAUGGUACUUAUCAGGAAAACAGAAACUCACUCCCUGAAAAAAAAAAAAAGAAAGCCAUCCACAGCAUGUUUUAAUGUUCAAAUCUGAGUACCGUCUCCAGUGCUAAAAUGGGGUUUAUAAUGAAAAUGCUGACAUCCUCACCAGACUCUGCGUGCCUGUUGCUCUUUUGUCCUGCAAGUUAUUAAAAUCCAGCCUGGUUGCCUAAGAGACAGGGUAGCUACUUAGCAGAUAUUUAGCCAUCAGUAAAAAUUAAUGUCCUACAAUGUAUUUAUUGGAAAAAUGCACUUAAUUAAGCACUCAAGUUAUACAAGCCACCCACCAACUACAAGUGUGUUCUGGCAACAGAAGUAUUGUUGUUACCGUGGUUCUGCUUCAUGAUGUUAUUUUCUUAAGUAAAUGCAUUUUUCAGCCUAACAGUUCUGGCUACAGCAUAUUGAUAAGAUAACUGUGCACGAAAGGGAGUCAUAGUAUUUUUAGUCUCCAUUUCUAGCUACCAGUAGUUCAUUAGUGACACUGUUGUGAGAGUGUUGAUUCAUUAAGAGUCUUUUCAUUAACAGUCUGACAUUCACACGUAGAAGAAAAAGCCAGGAAAUGUAACAAGGCACUCAGCAUUUUCUGCUGUUGCUCUGGUACAAUUAUCUUUUCUAAUGCCAAAAGAAGAACUGGAUGAUUUCAUGGCUAUAGGCUUUAAGCUGAACCUGACUAUGUACAGUUUUGGGGAGAAUUUGCACACAAUGUGAUUUCAGUGCCAAAUCUGUACAUAUAAGAGGCCUAGGAGAUGGCAUGGGAAAAUCAGAUGUGAAAGUUCUGUUCUUAAAUUGCUUUUGACUGGAGCUGUAAGGGCUAACAUGGAAACACAGGGGAAAAUAUGACUUUUUCUUUGUUAUUUAAAUAGGCUGUUGGCCAUAUCCCUAAACUUUAUGGGGCUUUGGAUAGAUUAGGAGCUUUCUGCUAAGCUAUCAAAUAUGUCAUGCUCAUGUAAACUCGCACCAAAUAUAUAAAUAUGAAUUUUUCAUUGUUUAUAAUUGCCAUUUAAUUGUAGGACCAAAUUCAAUAGCUUAACAUUUAUAUAGAGCUUGAUACUUUAAGCAUUACACAAAUAUUAACUAAUUAAUAAAAACAUCUGAGUAGUCCUUCUGAGACUGUCAGUUUCCAAAGAAAUCCUCUUCUUAAAAAAAAGGGACUGUUCAAGCAAACACACUGCAGGUUUUUAAAUGGCAAAUACAAAAUGACACAGUAGGACAGCUUUUUAUGGCUGAAAUCUGAGAAGAAAGCCUUUAUUUUUCCAAGAUUUUUCCGCCAAUCUUGUAAAUAAAUACUAGGUAAUGACUUCUCUUAGGAAGCAUAGGGGAGGCAGGCCAGAGAUGAGCUUGACAUUGGCACUGACUUUAUUUUCAGCUGUGUAUAGUAUUUCGUUGGAAUAUAGUAUUACAUUGACUUAUGUAUUCAUUCAAUCGUGAAAUUCAACAGGAGUUUUCAGUUCCUGUCAUCAAAAGAAAGCAACAAGAGGAGCAAAGCAAACGGUAUGUUUUUGACCUUUGCUUUCCUUGCUGAGAAUUCAUGAAACAAAACUAUGGCCUUUAAGUCCUUUUUGAGUUAUUUUGGCUCUGAAAGGUCUGGUUUAGUGAUGCGAAACUAUGUGAAUACCUCUGGCUUUCUGAACAAAAAGAGAAUGAAACAAAAUAAUAUAAAAACCCAACCCAAAACAUAUUGUUUGAUAACUUAAUGCUACUCUGACUCUUUACUUUUCCUAGACUCAGGGCUUUGCCUUCCACGAUGAUUUUUCAUUUCCGGUCUUAGUCAAAGAGGUGACAUUUCGUAGCACACAUGGUCACCAAGCUGCUACUUCUGUACAUUUCAGAACUGUGUGUGUAGGACAAUCAAGACAAAGCAAAUCUCAAAUGUAUGCAUUCUACAAUUUAAGAUGGACGUGUUAAAGAAUUGCGAACAAAGGGCAAAAAAAAACAGCUAUAAAAGGAGAAAACAUAGCAGGGUUUUUCUUUUGAAACUUUUCUCCCUGGAAAUUGCUGUUCUUAGAAAUAAAGAUGCUCUUCUGUUGCUUAAAAUAGAAAUGCUGACUGCUAUUAACUUUUUAGAUUUUGUUUAUUUCUUUCCUUCUCUCCCCUGUUAUCUGGGGCAAUGUGGAUACCAUAUAUAUUUUUAAUCAUAGUUUCAGAUUUUGAGAACUAAGUAGACUUUUAUGCACAUUUGCCAUGAAGAAAAUGAAUAUGAAUCAUGUUUUGCCAGAGCUUUUUCUUUUUUUCAUAUAAAUUUUAUGAGUAUGUUUUUCAUUUUGUUAACAGUGUCUGCCAUAAUUGCAAGACAGCAAGGACAGCACUGUAGCUGCAAUAUCACCUUAGGUUUAUUUUAUCUGGGGAGUAGUGUUAAGGAUGAAUGCUUUGGUAGCAGGGAAUCUCAGAAAGUUAAUCCAAUAAGUAAACUGUAAAAAAGAGUUUCAGGAAGUGACAAUGACACUGACAUAAGCAGCCAGCGUCUCAGAAACCCAUCUGACAGUUUGAUCUGUUGCUGUGUUGUCAAGAUGUCUAAUUAAAGUGCUAUAUAUAUAAAAGACAAUUUGAAAAUGGUGAAAAAAAAAAUAUUAAAGUUAAUAUAGAUGUGAUUUCACAAGAGAUGUGCCAUUUAUUUUGUUUGACAGCCAGAGACAAUUGAAUGAAAAUGAAAGCAGGAGCAUUCAUUACCUACGUGGGAUUUUGACUCUAAAGCAGCUUUCUGCAAUUUCUGAUCACAGCUCCCCUUCAUAUUUCUCAACUUACUAUAUCAAUAUUUAUACAUUUUGGAUAACCAGCCAAUAUUGUACAGCUAGAUCGACUUGUUUUUGGUGCAUGUUCUCUUUCUAGGGAAUUGUGUUUGAGCUUGUCAGUUCUAUGAAUACAACCUCAAGCAUAAACUCUGGGCUCUAUUAUAGCAAGAUUUGGCUAUUUUGACAGCCAUCCUUGCAUGGCAAAGAAAACAGUUUUAUAUUAUGAAAUGAACGGAGAUUAAAAAACAAACAAACAACAACACACACACACACAGAAAAACCCCACGCCAGAAAACUCUUGAAAUGAGACACUCCACAUAGAAGUGUCUGGAGCAAAAGGGAAAUUAAUAAUCACUAAGUGUGAAUUUCCAAGGUCUGUUCCCAUUAAUAAAUCAAAGUACCCUUAAGAGAGGAUCGACAGAUCUUAGCAGACUGGACGACAACUCUUGAGUAGAGCCACAAAAUAUUAAAAAGUAUUUCAAAGUAGAAAAAUUUAGGAUUGGCCAAGCAUGAUCAAAGUUCUGUUGCUAUACUUUGAACACAAUCCCUGCAAACUGUGCAGAAAAAAGAAAAGCAAAAGCAAGGGACCCUGAAAUGAGAAAUUGUAAGCCAUCCAGUCACAGAAAAAAAUUUUUAUCCAAUCACAGAGAAAAUUUUUUCUUAACCUGAUUGGUCAUUGCAUGACUAUGCCUUGAAUCUGCAGUUCCUACAUAUUUAAUAAAUAAAUAAUGGAUAUAUGAAAAAAUACCAAGUCUAGCCUGUCCAUAAAUACUACACACAAAUAUCCCAAACGUUUUUCAACUUAAUAUCAGAAUGAUGUGAGAGUCUAAAGCUCUUCAGCAGCUCUGGUGAGAACUGGAUUUUGUCUCCCCACAGACAGAAAGUCUGCUGUACUGGGGCUGGGCAAAUAGUGUUUCCUUGGUUUUUGGGCUAUGAGGCACAUCAGCAGCGUUCUGUUCGUGGAGGAGAAAAGAUCAGGCUCCCGCUCACUGUUUUGCACUUUGUACUUCUACUGUGAUCUUGUUAGCUGGAAUCUCUUCAAAAUGACUUUUUUUUUUUUUUUUUUUUCCUUCAGCUGGUGUUUCCUACAAACCCCCUGGGAAGCAUUUGAUUUGUUAUUGAGGGGGGAGGUGGGUAAGCUGUUCUCUCCUUGUCCUUCUAGUUGGAAUAUUCUGGGCCAGAUCUUCAUGUGGCAGGAGUCAGCAUUUGGUCUAGUUUGUCUCACCUUCUGCAAAGCUAUUUGGUGAUAGUUUUAGAAGAUUAUUUGAAGUUCUUUCCCUUGGUACAUUUUCCUUUCCCACUUAUUUGGUUGAAUUUACUUUUCAUUUCUAUUUUUCAAGAGUUUUUCUUCUGUUCUAAAAUCCAAACAUCUUUUCCAGUGCAGGAAGAUCCCUGUACUCCCCUCAGCACAAUUUUAAAAUGCUGUUAUUUCAUUUAGAAACUAUGCUAAUGGUUUCAAUUUCUUUGAUUUUCCCUAUUGCUGUUGAUAGUUGCAGCUGCAGUUUUUAAUAUACUUCUCUUUUUGAAAACAUUUUUUUAAUAAAAAGUAGUUUAAACUCUCCCAGUAUGCUGUUCAAAGAAUCUCACAAUUUACAUUUUUUCAUAUCGUUUUCCAUUAGAAAGCCCCUCAAGCACUCAAUGCAAGGCUCUGAGCAGUACCCCAGCAGUGUAGAGAAGUGACAGCACAACAGGGUGAAGGGGUGUGACUGAAGGAAGGGGAUGGCAGAGGACCCUAACACUGACACUAGUGGGCUUUCAAGUGUUUUAUAAAAGAAAAAAACAAGUAAACUAACUGCCCAAUAUCUGGUGGCUGUUGGAGCAGUGCUAUUCAAGGAGCAGCUGGGGAAGCAGCAGGAGGUGGGGAAUGCUGCUGAGGGCAGCAGUUCAGUAGGAGAUGAGAUGGAGUACACAGAUGCCUCAACUUGGAGUAAUCAGUGCAGAUAUUGGUGCUGGAAAAAAUAAGAGGAAACUGAGGUUGACAAGGGUGCUUGCUAGACAGGAAAAAGGUAUCAGGACAGGGGUGAGUAGUGUGCUUCAAGUGUACGUUGUCACUUCAUACAGUGCCUUGUGAUGACAUCUCCUUCUCUUGAAUAUGGUAGUGGGAUAGUGAGAGCUGCUAAAAGGCGCCAUCCAGGCCAGCAGCAAAACAUGGGACAUGACACUUGCUGAAAGAUGUCUGAUGCCAUGGCCACAAAGUCACAGUGCUCCAAGUCCACUUGACAGAUCCUGAGCCUGAGCUGGCACAGGGGUGCAGAACCAAGGAGAUUGGAGGGGGGGGGGGGGGGGGUUGGAG